ACCGGGUGCAGUGGUGCACGCCUGUAAUCCCAGCAGCUUGGGAGGCUGGAGGCAGGAGGAUUGCAAGUUCAAAACCAGCCUCAGCAAAAGUGAGGUGCUAUGCAAUUCGGUAAGACCCUGUCUCUA
rnacentral:sRNA from 1 species